GGACAACGUGCCCUAAAGUGGGGGAUAAUCAGGGGAAACUCUGGAUAAUACCCCAUAGAUCAUGAGAUCUGGAAUGACUUAUGGUUCAAAGUUCCGGCGCUUUAGGAUCGGUCUGCGGCCUAUCAGGUAGUAGUGGGUGUAAUGUACCCCCUAGCCUAUUACGGGUAUGGGCCUUGAGAGAGGGAGCCCAGAGUUGGAUUCUGAGACACGAAUCCAGGCCCUACGGGGCGCAGCAGUCGCGAAAACUUCACAAUGGGCGGAAGCCCGAUGAGGGAAUUCCUAGUGCUAGCACUUUUGUGUUAGCUUUUCUUUAGCGUAGAUAACUAGAGGAAUAAGGGCUGGGUAAGACGGGUGCCAGCCGCCGCGGUAAUACCCGCAGCCCGAGUGGUGGUCGAUUUUAUUGAGUCUAAAACGUUCGUAGCCGGUCUGAUAGAUCCUUGGGUAAAUCGGGGGGCUUAACCUUCCGAAUUCCGAGGAGACCGUCAGGCUUGGGAUCGGGAGAGGUGAGAGGUACUUCAGGGGUAGGGGUAAAAUCCUGUAAUCCUUGGAGGGCCACCGGUGGCGAAGGCGUCUUACUAGAACGAAUCCGACGGUGAGGGACGAAGCCCUAGGUCGCAAACGGGAUUAGAUACCCCGGUAGUCUAGGGUGUAAACGCUGCAGACUUGGUGUUGGAGGCCCUUCGGGGGCAUUCAGUGCCGGAGAGAAGUUGUUAAGUCUGCUACUUGGGGAGUACGUCCGCAAGGAUGAAACUUAA
rnacentral:rRNA from 1 species